rnacentral:rRNA from 1 species
AGAGUUUGAUCCUGGCUCAGGAUGAACGCUGGCGGCGUGCUUAACACAUGCAAGUCGAACGAACCUUCGGGUUAGUGGCGGACGGGUGAGUAACGCGUGGGAAUCUGCCCUCAGGAGGGGGAUAACGGCUGGAAACGGCCGCUAAUACCCCAUAUGCCGAGAGGUGAAAAGAAAUUCGCCUGAGGAUGAGCCCGCGUCUGAUUAGCUAGUUGGUGGGGUAAGAGCUCACCAAGGCGACGAUCAGUAGCUGGUCUGAGAGGAUGAUCAGCCACACUGGGACUGAGACACGGCCCAGACUCCUACGGGAGGCAGCAGUGGGGAAUUUUCCGCAAUGGGCGAAAGCCUGACGGAGCAACGCCGCGUGAGGGAUGAAGGCCUCUGGGCUGUAAACCUCUCUUCUCAAGGAAGAAGACAUGACGGUACUUGAGGAAUAAGCCACGGCUAAUUCCGUGCCAGCAGCCGCGGUAAUACGGGAGUGGCAAGCGUUAUCCGGAAUUAUUGGGCGUAAAGCGUCCGCAGGCGGCCCUGUAAGUCUGUCGUUAAAGCGUGGAGCUUAACUCCAUUUAAGCGAUGGAAACUACAGGGCUUGAGUGUGGUAGGGGCAGAGGGAAUUCCCGGUGUAGCGGUGAAAUGCGUAGAUAUCGGGAAGAACACCAGUGGCGAAGGCGCUCUGCUGGGCCAUAACUGACGCUCAUGGACGAAAGCCAGGGGAGCGAAAGGGAUUAGAUACCCCUGUAGUCCUGGCCGUAAACGAUGAACACUAGGUGUCGGGGGAAUCGACCCCCUCGGUGUCGUAGCCAACGCGUUAAGUGUUCCGCCUGGGGAGUACGCACGCAAGUGUGAAACUCAAAGGAAUUGACGGGGGCCCGCACAAGCGGUGGAGUAUGUGGUUUAAUUCGAUGCAACGCGAAGAACCUUACCAGGGUUUGACAUCCUGCGAAUCCCUUGGAAACGAGGGAGUGCCUUCGGGAGCGCAGAGACAGGUGGUGCAUGGCUGUCGUCAGCUCGUGUCGUGAGAUGUUGGGUUAAGUCCCGCAACGAGCGCAACCCACGUCUUUAGUUGCCAGCAUUCAGUUGGGCACUCUAGAGAGACAGCCGGUGAUAAACCGGAGGAAGGUGUGGAUGACGUCAAGUCAUCAUGCCCCUUACAUCCUGGGCUACACACGUACUACAAUGCUACGGACAAAGGGCAGCAAGCUCGCGAGAGUUAGCAAAUCCCAUAAACCGUGGCUCAGUUCAGAUCGUAGGCUGCAACUCGCCUACGUGAAGGAGGAAUCGCUAGUAAUCGCAGGUCAGCAUACUGCGGUGAAUACGUUCCCGGGCCUUGUACACACCGCCCGUCACACCAUGGAAGUUGGCCAUGCCCGAAGUCGUUACUCCAACCCG